rnacentral:rRNA from 1 species
AGUGAACGCUGGCGGUAGGCCUAACACAUGCAAGUCGAACGGCAGCACAGUAAGAGCUUGCUCUUACGGGUGGCGAGUGGCGGACGGGUGAGGUAUACAUCGGAAUCUACUUUUUCGUGGGGGAUAACGUAGGGAAAUUUACGCUAAUAACGCAUACGACCUACGGGUGAAAGCAGGGGAUCUUCGGACCUUGCGCGAUUGAAUGAGCCGAUGUCGGAUUAGCUAGUUGGCGGGGUAAAGGCCCACCAAGGCGACGAUCCGUAGCUGGUAUGAGAGGAUGAUCAGCCACACUGGAACUGAGACACGGUCCAGACUCCUACGGGAGGCAGCAGUGGGGAAUAUUGGACAAUGGGCGCAAGCCUGAUCCAGCCAUACCGCGUGGGUGAAGAAGGCCUUCGGGUUGUAAAGCCCUGUUGUUGGGAAAGAAAAGCAGCAGGUUAAUACCCCGCUGUUCUGACGGUACCCAAAGAAUAAGCACCGGCUAACUUCGUG